UCCGGCGUAGUUCAAUGGUUUAGAAUGGAUGCCAUGACACGUUGAAAAGGCAUACGAUGCAGGUUCGAAUCCUGCCGCCGGAG
rnacentral:tRNA from 1 species